GUUUUAGCUUAACAGAGAGAAAGACAGAAAGAGAGAGACAGAGAGAGAGAGAGAGAGACGUUAUUACGUUUUCAAUCAAUAAGGUUUCCCUUUUUUCUCUCUAAUUGCUAUAGAUAUGAGGAAGCAACGCAACUUUUUACUUGAAGUUCGAUAAGAGAUAUGGCAUUUAUAUAUAUAUAGGCUUAUACCCCGUGUCUAUAAAAUAAGCACGAAAUUACUAAUGCGGGUAAUUCUAUACUCUAGCUAAGUAACGUUAGUAAUUGUGUGCCAAGUUUCUGGCCGACUUUCUUAACGCUAUAAUUUUAACCCAAUAUUUUCCACCCACUUCGAACAACGCUAAUUUCGGAUCCCAUUUUUUCCACCUACUACGAUAAUGCUGGUGAUUCCGUAUCCAUUUUUCCAUCAAGUUCGGCAUGGCGAGUAAUUCCGUGCCAGUUUUUUUCAUCUAGUUUCAGUAACUCUAGGCUUUUUCCGCCAAGAUCAGUUCCGUGACCGUUUUCUCUCUCUCUUGUCCUGUCACCUAAACUGUCUUGUCACCGACUCUAAGUAUGAUAUAUAACCUAUAAAAAAAUUCUUGUUAGGCUGCAAAAUUCCCCGACUCUACCAUUAAAAUCUCGUGCGUUUAAGCCGUAUGUGCGGUCAGAUUAUGGCUUUUGUUCUGUAUGUCCAUCGAUGUAGCCAAUAAUCGUAUUGUAAUACCAUUACUGCCUUCAUCGUCCACACAACAUUGCGGUUGUGUAAACAGGUUUUGGUCACAAUGACGUUGUCUCGGGAGACUACAUCUUUUAUUUCACUCUCCGACGAUCGCUACUUGUUCUCUACAAAAUCGACUUUAGGUCGAUACUGUCUGGAUGUGAAUAAAUUGCACUUCUAUCAUCAGAAAUUUCCUGCUCGGAGAAGCAAAGCUGCCUAGCACAGCUUUCCGUCUCAAUCAAAUUUAUAUCGUAAUGCUCCUUUAACUUUUAAUUUCUGUCAAGAUUUUAUGAUUUCCAACCCGGCUCAUCUUCUAUAAAUAUAUAAAAAUUCCUUCGUCUCCCUCUUAUUAGAAAAAAAAAAGUUCUAAACAAUUCCAAAGUCGUGGAGAAGAAGAAAUUGGGGAGAUAAAUUCUUUUAAUCUACUUCGGAAGUUGAAUCGGGAUCGUUUUAAAAGCAUAAACUUUAAAAGAGAGAAGAAAAAAAAAAUGAUAAUUAGAAACAAUUUACAUUUAUAUUGAUAUCGAUUUUGCAAUUUUCUUGAUUAUUCUGUUUGUGUUUUGUCUAAUGGUUGAAUUUAUAUAUAUAUAUUUAUCUUUCUCUUUCGUUUCUCGCCGAGUUUAAUUCGUUAUAAAUAUAUUUUCGCCGGGGAAAUUUAAGCAGUUCGUGUUAAAUAUCAAAUAUUCAAAUGAAGAAUAACUUUACAUUUAAGUUCAGCAGGGAAAAAAAAAGACAAAUAUUACUCGGUAUGCGUGUUACGGAUGAUCUAUAGUUCAGAAGUUGCAUGUUUAGCGACUGGCGGUUUGUUUGAUGACGUGCGUGCGAACGUCACCGAAAAUCUUCCAAAUUAAAAUAUUUAACUAGUCAUCACGAGCGCUAGAUCAGCUGUAAACCAUUCGUUCGAUUCGUCCGCCAAAAAUAAAUUUAAUGACGUGUAAUCGGAAUUAAAUUUUAGUCCGUUCGAUGGUGUGAAGCGUAAAAAAAAAAAAAAAUUAUUUAUUUAUUCUUUUUGAGUGGAGCGAAAACAGAAACGGAUCAUCAGUCGACAAAAUCGUAAAGAAACUUUAAUUGUUGCCGUAGCGAAUAACAGAUUUUUCUAUCUAGAAAAUCGGAAAAAUUUUAAUUUGCCAUAACGGAGCUUAUAGUAGAAGUCCGUCGAAAGAAAAGAAACAGGCCGUAUAAUAAAAGAACGUUUAAUUGUUGUUACUCUUUAGGAAUUUUUUAUUUACUUAUUUAUUUUUUCUAGAACCUACCUGGGUCUUCUAUCAACAGUCUGUCGUCUGUUGCACCAUCUGGCGUCUUCCAUCGGUCAUUACACCCAUGCAAUUACACUGCAAUGUCCCUCGUUAUGUUUUAUAGCCGGACAGAUCACACCAUCGUGUGUUGGCUUAUUACGACCCUCCUCUGCUAGAAAUUUGCGGUUGAACCAUUGAUCCGACUCGAUAAUAUUACCAGGAAGCGAUAUAUCGAUUUUACUUUUUUUCCUACUUGUUAUACUUUUAUAAUAUUCUCUAAAUGCAUCUGCAUAGUCGGCAAACCGAUGAAUUAUUCCUAUCUUUCGUCUGACGUAGAAUAUUUAUAACGCCUUUUAACAUUUUAAAGCGGAUAAAAAUUCCUCAUAAAAAUUAUUAUUAUUAUUAAAACAACGAAAGUUUUAAUAAAUUUCGCUUUACUUCUCUCUGGUAACUUGUUCGAAUGCUUCAAUCUUGUUUAUCUACCUAGAGACGUUCGUCACUGGCAUUUAAACAAAUCAAUAAGGAACUGCAAGUUUAUGGAAAAGUUGACAGAAUGAAAAAAAAAGAAAACGUAUAUUACAAUAUAAAGAAAGGUGUAAAAAAUUUUGCAAAUCGUUAGAGAAUCGAUAGACAAAAUGUAAAUUUAUAGUUAAUAAGUCGAGUCGGCAUUGUAGAAAUUGCUCCAGCGAAACAAAAGAUGUUUUAAUGAUCAGAAGACACGGAAAUAAGGAGGAGGAUGCUACAGCAGCCAAGACAAGUCAGAUAAACGAACCCCUUAUCUGGUACAGGAAAUAGAGACGUCACUAGGUCCUUCUUGCCUUGUCACAAAGAUCACGUGCUGUCCAUCUAUCCACCAAUAGCGUGUCUUCUCUUUCUGUCAGCUGUCAUUUCUCUCUCGUGCCGGAUGAUUAUUUGUCACGUGAUGUGGAUCUUUUCCUUCGGCUCUUUCUAUCUCCAUCUAAUGUUCCAUCUAAAAUUCGCUAAUGUCCACAUUUCUUUUAUCUUUAUUAAACAUCCAAUAAAAUCGGAAAAGUUAUUUUCAGACUUUAUCAAUCUUUUUUUCUCCCCCUACCCUUUCCCUUUUUUUUCUCCUUCUUUUAUAAAACACAAAUGUCUUCCUACUAAAUAAGGAAUCCAUCUCGUUUCUUCUUUAAUUGGUCACUCCGCUAGUCUCCCAAUGGGUGGUGUUAUUUAUAAUUCGGAAAGCAACGAGAAAAAAAUUUUUCUAUUCUUUUUCCCUUUUUUUCCCCGUCGAAUGGAUAUCUUCUCCAACUAUCCCUUUUAAUUGGUCACACUGCCAAUCUUCCAAACGUUUAUAUAUAUAAACGAUUCAAAAAAUACGGGGGAAAAAAAAUCAUUCUUUUAACAACUUUUUUCCCUUUUUUUCCCUUCUUAUCGAAAGAAAUAUCCCUGUAAUUGGUCGUUCUGACACUCUUCAGACGGGUGAUAAUAUUUAUAAUUCGUAAAGAAAAUGGCGGAAAAAAUGAGAGAAGACUUUAAUUUGUCUUCUUCACCUCCUCUAUGGGAAUUUAAAAAAAAAGAGGCAAAAAUAAAACAAAAAAAUGACUUUUUGAUUACAGAGAUUAACUCUUUACUUUUCAUUAAGGCACAAUUUGUCGUAGAAA
rnacentral:lncRNA from 1 species